AUAGCAUAUCAAUAAGCGGAGGAAAAGAAACCAACAGGGAUUGCCCUAGUAACGGCGAGUGAAGCGGCAAGAGCUCAAAUUUGAAAUCUGGCUCCUUUGGGGUCCGAGUUGUAAUUUGUAGAGGGUGCUUUGGUGUUGACUAUGGCCUAAGUUCCUUGGAACAGGACGUCUUAGAGGGUGAGAACCCCGUACGUGGCCUCUAGCCUUCACCGUGUAAAGCCCCUUCGACGAGUCGAGUUGUUUGGGAAUGCAGCUCUAAAUGGGAGGUAAAUUUCUUCUAAAGCUAAAUAUUGGCCAGAGACCGAUAGCGCACAAGUAGAGUGAUCGAAAGAUGAAAAGCACUUUGGAAAGAGAGUCAAAAAGCACGUGAAAUUGUUGAAAGGGAAGCGCUUGCAGCCAGACUUGCCCGUAGUCGCUCAUCCGAGCUCUUGCUCGGUGCACUCUUCUGCGGGCAGGCCAGCAUCAGUCCGGGCGGUCGGAUAAAGGCUCUGGGAAUGUAGCUCUCUUCGGGGAGUGUUAUAGCCCAGGGUGUCAUGCGACCAGCCUGGACUGAGGUCCGCGCAUCUGCUAGGAUGCUGGCGUAAUGGCUGUAAGCGGCCCGUCUUGAAACACGGACCAAGGAGUCUAACAUCUAUGCGAGUGUUUGGGUGUCAAGCCCGGGCGCGCAAUGAAAGUGAACGGAGGUGGGAGCCUUUGGGUGCACCAUCGACCGAUCCUGAUGUCUUCGGAUGGAUUUGAGUAAGAGCAUAGCUGUUGGGACCCGAAAGAUGGUGAACUAUGCCUGAAUAGGGUGAAGCCAGAGGAAACUCUGGUGGAGGCUCGCAGCGGUUCUGACGUGCAAAUCGAUCGUCAAAUUUGGGCAUAGGGGCGAAAGACUAAUCGAACUAUCAGUCCCCC
rnacentral:rRNA from 1 species